rnacentral:rRNA from 1 species
GACGAACGCUGGCGGCGUGCUUAACACAUGCAAGUCGAACGAUGAAGCCAGCUUGCUGGUGGAUUAGUGGCGAACGGGUGAGUAACACGUGGGUGAUCUGCCCCAAACUUUGGGAUAAGCCUGGGGAACUGGGUCUAAUACCGAAUAUGACCGAUACUCGCAUGGGUGUUGGUGGAAAGCUCCGGCGGUUUGGGAUGGGCCCGCGGCCUAUCAGCUUGUUGGUGGGGUAAUGGCCUACCAAGGCGACGACGGGUAGCCGGCCUGAGAGGGCGACCGGCCACACUGGGACUGAGACACGGCCCAGACUCCUACGGGAGGCAGCAGUGGGGAAUAUUGCACAAUGGGCGCAAGCCUGAUGCAGCGACGCCGCGUGAGGGAUGACGGCCUUCGGGUUGUAAACCUCUUUCACCAGGGACGAAGCGAAAGUGACGGUACCUGGAGAAGAAGCACCGGCCAACUACGUG